UAAUAACUGGAGGGUCAAGUCUGGUGCCAGCAUCCGCGGUAAUUCCAGCUCCAGGGGUGUCUAUGAUGAUUGCUGCGAUUAAAAAGUCCGUAGUCAAUCUGACUGACUGACUGCAAUGUGAUUGAUUAAAGAACGAGCAGGGUUAGGAAAGCAGAGAAUUAGGAGCGACCGAGGGCUAGAGUAUUGAAUGGCGAGAGGUGAAAUUUGAUGACCCAUUCAGGAGUGACAAAGGCGAAGGCACUAGUCAAGGGCGAAUCCGAUGAUCAAGGACGUAGGCUAGAGUUUCGAAAACGAUUAGAGACCGGAGUAGUUCUAGCAGUAAACUAUGCCGACGCCGUGGUAUCAACAAUGGUAUUGCGGAAGAGAAAUCAAGUAAGGCUUUGGGGAGAGUACGCGCGCAAGCGAUAAAUUUAAAGGAAAUUGACGGAGGAACACCACAAGGAGUGGAGUGUGCGGCUUAAUUUGACUCAACGCGGGACAGCUUACCAGGCCCGAUAAUCGAGCGAGCGUAGUACGCGAUAGGUUAAAGAGUGGUGCAUGGCUGCUAUCGACAGUUGGGGUGACCUUAGGGUUAAUUCCGGCAAGUAGUGAGACCCCUGCAGAUAGUGGACAGGUAUUUUUAAAAUACAGGAAGGAAGGGACAAGAGCAGGUCAGUGAUGCCCUUAGAUGGCCUGGGCUGCACGCGCACUACAGUGGUCAUUAUAAGUAGAAGUUAGAUAUAAAGAUGAUCGAGAGGGACUGAGCUUUGUAAGAGGCUCACGAACGAGGAAUUGCUAGUAAUCGUAGGCUCAUUAAGAUACGAUGAAUAUGUCCCUGUACCUUGUACACACCGCCCGUCGUUAUCGAAGAUGGAAUUGUGUGCGAACGAGCAACAAGCGA
rnacentral:rRNA from 1 species